AAAUGUGAAAGAAGAAGAUACUAAGAAACAGAUCAAAGAAGACGAAGGAUCAAUAAAUAAUAUGAACAAAGAAACAGAAACAGAAAUAAAUGGAAGCAAAUAUUUAAAAGCGAAAAAAAAUCAA
rnacentral:ribozyme from 1 species